UACGAAGGGGGCUAGCGUUGCUCGGAAUCACUGGGCGUAAAGGGCGCGUAGGCGGCCGAUUAAGUCGGGGGUGAAAGCCUGUGGCUCAACCACAGAAUUGCCUCGAUACUGGUUGGCUUGAGGCACGGAAGAGGACAGCGGAACUGCGAGUGUAGAGGUGAAAUUCGUAGAUAUUCGCAAGAACACCAGUGGCGAAGGCGGCUGUCUGGUCCGGUUCUGACGCUGAGGCGCGAAAGCGUGGGGAGCAAACAGG
rnacentral:rRNA from 1 species